AUUGAACGCUAGCGGGAUGCCUUACACAUGCAAGUCGAACGGAGUGGCGAUCGGGUGAGUAAUGUAUAGGCACGUGCCCAGUAGCGUGGGAUAACUACGCGCAAGCGUAGCUAAUACCUCAUACCAUUGGAGCGGCCGAUAUCGGAUUGGCUAGUUGGUGGGGUAACGGCUCACCAAGGCGACGAUCCGUAGCCGGUUUGAGAGGAGGACCAGCCACACUGGGACUGAGACACGGCCCAGACUCCUACGGGAGGCAGCAGUGGGGAAUUUUGGACAAUGGGGGAAAGCCUGAUCCAGCCAUCCCGCGUGUGUGAUGAAGGCCUUCGGGUUGUAAAGCACUUUUGGCAGGAAAGCGGUACCUGCAGAAUAAGCACCGGCUAACUACGUGCCAGCAGCCGCGGUAAUUC
rnacentral:rRNA from 1 species